rnacentral:rRNA from 1 species
UUAAGCGACUAAGCGUACACGGUGGAUGCCUAGGCAGUCAGAGGCGAUGAAGGGCGUGCUAAUCUGCGAAAAGCGUCGGUAAGCUGAUAUGAAGCGUUAUAACCGACGAUACCCGAAUGGGGAAACCCAGUGCAAUACGUUGCACUAUCGUUAGAUGAAUACAUAGUCUAACGAGGCGAACCGGGGGAACUGAAACAUCUAAGUACCCCGAGGAAAAGAAAUCAACCGAGAUUCCCCCAGUAGCGGCGAGCGAACGGGGAGGAGCCCAGAGUCUGAAUCAGUUUGUGUGUUAGUGGAAGCGUCUGGAAAGUCGCACGGUACAGGGUGAUAGUCCCGUACACCAAAAUGCACAGGCUGUGAACUCGAUGAGUAGGGCGGGACACGUGACAUCCUGUCUGAAUAUGGGGGACCAUCCUCCAAGGCUAAAUACUCCUGACUGACCGAUAGUGAACCAGUACCGUGAGGGAAAGGCGAAAAGAACCCCGGCGAGGGGAGUGAAAUAGAACCUGAAACCGUGUACGUACAAGCAGUGGGAGCACCUUCGUGGUGUGACUGCGUACCUUUUGUAUAAUGGGUCAGCGACUUAUAUUUUGUAGCAAGGUUAACCGAAUAGGGGAGCCGUAGGGAAACCGAGUCUUAACUGGGCGUCUAGUUGCAAGGUAUAGACCCGAAACCCGGUGAUCUAGCCAUGGGCAGGUUGAAGGUUGGGUAACACUAACUGGAGGACCGAACCGACUAAUGUUGAAAAAUUAGCGGAUGACUUGUGGCUGGGGGUGAAAGGCCAAUCAAACCGGGAGAUAGCUGGUUCUCCCCGAAAGCUAUUUAGGUAGCGCCUCGUGAACUCAUCUUCGGGGGUAGAGCACUGUUUCGGCUAGGGGGCCAUCCCGGCUUACCAAACCGAUGCAAACUCCGAAUACCGAAGAAUGUUAUCACGGGAGACACACGGCGGGUGCUAACGUCCGUCGUGAAGAGGGAAACAACCCAGACCGCCAGCUAAGGUCCCAAAGUCAUGGUUAAGUGGGAAACGAUGUGGGAAGGCACAGACAGCCAGGAUGUUGGCUUAGAAGCAGCCAUCAUUUAAAGAAGCGUAAUAGCUCACUGGUCGAGUCGGCCUGCGCGGAAGAUGUAACGGGGCUAAACCAUGCACCGAAGCUGCGGCAGCGACACUUAGGUGUUGUUGGGUAGGGGAGCGUUCUGUAAGCCGUUGAAGGUGACCUGUGAGGGUUGCUGGAGGUAUCAGAAGUGCGAAUGCUGACAUAAGUAACGAUAAUGCGGGUGAAAAACCCGCACGCCGGAAGACCAAGGGUUCCUGUCCAACGUUAAUCGGGGCAGGGUGAGUCGACCCCUAAGGCGAGGCUGAAAAGCGUAGUCGAUGGGAAACAGGUUAAUAUUCCUGUACUUGGUGUUACUGCGAAGGGGGGACGGAGAAGGCUAGGCUGGCCGGGCGACGGUUGUCCCGGUUUAAGCGUGUAGGGGGAGUGACCAGGUAAAUCCGGUUGCUUAUCAACCCUGAGGCGUGAUGACGAUGCACCACGGUGCAGAAGCAGUUGAUGCCAUGCUUCCAGGAAAAGCCUCUAAGCAUCAGGUAACAUUAAAUCGUACCCCAAACCGACACAGGUGGUCAGGUAGAGAAUACUCAGGCGCUUGAGAGAACUCGGGUGAAGGAACUAGGCAAAAUGGUGCCGUAACUUCGGGAGAAGGCACGCUGGCGUUAGGUGAAAGGACUAGCUCCUGGAGCUGAAGCCAGUCGCAGAUACCAGCUGGCUGCAACUGUUUAAUAAAAACACAGCACUGUGCAAACACGAAAGUGGACGUAUACAGUGUGACGCCUGCCCGGUGCUGGAAGGUUAAUUGAUGGGGUCAGCCGCAAGGCGAAGCUCUUGAUCGAAGCCCCAGUAAACGGCGGCCGUAACUAUAACGGUCCUAAGGUAGCGAAAUUCCUUGUCGGGUAAGUUCCGACCUGCACGAAUGGCGUAAUGAUGGCCAGGCUGUCUCCACCCGAGACUCAGUGAAAUUGAACUCGCUGUGAAGAUGCAGUGUACCCGCGGCAAGACGGAAAGACCCCGUGAACCUUUACUAUAGCUUGACACUGAACAUUGAGCCUUGAUGUGUAGGAUAGGUGGGAGGCCUUGAAGUGUGGACGCCAGUCUGCAUGGAGCCAACCUUGAAAUACCACCCUUUAAUGUUUGAUGUUCUAACUCGGCCCCAUGAUCUGGGGUGAGGACAGUGUCUGGUGGGUAGUUUGACUGGGGCGGUCUCCUCCCAAAGAGUAACGGAGGAGCACGAAGGUUAGCUAAUCACGGUCGGACAUCGUGAGGUUAGUGCAAAGGCAUAAGCUAGCUUGACUGCGAGAGUGACGGCUCGAGCAGGUACGAAAGUAGGUCUUAGUGAUCCGGUGGUUCUGAAUGGAAGGGCCAUCGCUCAACGGAUAAAAGGUACUCCGGGGAUAACAGGCUGAUACCGCCCAAGAGUUCAUAUCGACGGCGGUGUUUGGCACCUCGAUGUCGGCUCAUCACAUCCUGGGGCUGAAGUAGGUCCCAAGGGUAUGGCUGUUCGCCAUUUAAAGUGGUACGCGAGCUGGGUUUAGAACGUCGUGAGACAGUUCGGUCCCUAUCUGCCGUGGGCGUUGGAAGAUUGAGAGGGGCUGCUCCUAGUACGAGAGGACCGGAGUGGACGAAUCACUGGUGUUCGGGUUGUCAUGCCAAUGGCAUUGCCCGGUAGCUAAAUUCGGAAGAGAUAACCGCUGAAAGCAUCUAAGCGGGAAACUUGCCUCGAGAUGAGUCUUCCCUGGGGCUUAAAGCCCCCUGAAGGAACGUUAAAGACUAUGACGUUGAUAGGCUGGGUGUGUAAGUGCAGCGAUGUAUUGAGCUAACCAGUACUAAUGAUCCGUGAGGCUUAACCUU